rnacentral:ncRNA from 1 species
CAUGGUUCACUUUAGCCGGUGAUUAAAAGGGAAAGAGGUGAGAAACCUCUGCUGUCCCGCAGCUGUGAACCGCUCUUGAUGGAUGUGAACAACAAGGCCACUGACGAUUGUUGGGAAGGCGUUCGCAUUUGAGUGGUAAGCCAGAAGACCUGCCUUGCAG